GUGCCAGCAGCCGCGGUAAGACAGAGGAGCCAAGCGUUGUCCGGACUGACUGGGCGUAAAGCGCACGCAGGCGGCGCUGUGCGUGGGGUGUGAAAGCUCUUGGCUUAACUGAGAGAGGCCAUCCCAUACGGCAGCGCUCGAGCGGUGCAGAGGUCCGCGGAAUUGCCGGUGUAGUGGUGAAAUGCGUAGAGAUCGGCAGGAACACCCAGGGGGAAACCAGCGGACUGGGCAUCGGCUGACGCUCAGGUGCGACAGCGUGGGGAGCGAACCGGAUUAGAUACCCCCGUAGUCC
rnacentral:rRNA from 1 species